GAUGAACGCUGGCGGCGUGCCUAAUACAUGCAAGUCGAGCGAACAGACGAGGAGCUUGCUCCUCUGACGUUAGCGGCGGACGGGUGAGUAACACGUGGAUAACCUACCUAUAAGACUGGGAUAACUUCGGGAAACCGGAGCUAAUACCGGAUAAUAUAUUGAACCGCAUGGUGCAAUAGUGAAAGACGGUUUUGCUGUCACUUAUAGAUGGAUCCGCGCCGCAUUAGCUAGUUGGUAAGGUAACGGCUUACCAAGGCAACGAUGCGUAGCCGACCUGAGAGGGUGAUCGGCCACACUGGACCUGAGACACGGUCCAGACUCCUACGGGAGGCAGCAGUAGGGAAUCUUCCGCAAUGGGCGAAAGCCUGACGGAGCAACGCCGCGUGAGUGAUGAAGGUCUUCGGAUCGUAAAACUCUGUUAUUAGGGAAGAACAAAUGUGUAAGUAACUAUGCACGUCUUGACGGUACCUAAUCAGAAAGCCACGGCUAACUACGUG
rnacentral:rRNA from 1 species